AUAAGUGGUGGGCAAGGCCGGUGCCAGCCGCCGCGGUUAUACCGGCGCCACGAGUGGCAAUCGCGAUUAUUGGGCCUAAAGCGUCCGUAGCAGGUCAAGUAAAUCUCUUGUGAAAUCGUCUCGCUUAACGUGACGAAUGGCAGGAGACACUGCUUGUCUUGAGACCGGGAGGGGUUAGAGGUAUUCACGGGGGACCGGUAAAAUGGGAUAAUCCCGUGAGGACCACCGAUGGCGAAGGCAUCUAACCAGAACGGAUCUGACUGUGAGGGACGAAAGCCAGGGGAGCAAACCGGAUUAGAUUGAUUUUUUGCCAAAAAAUCAAGUAAAAGCGGUUAAGUGCAACAUUUACUUCGUAAAGUUGCACGAACCACGUUUGCAGUAACAUCUACUGUGGUUACGCUUAAUUUCAUGGGCAAAUAAAAUCCUAAAGACCCGAGUAGUCCUGGCCGUAAACGCUGUGAGCUAGGUGUUGCACCUACCAUUGGUAUGUGCAGUAUCGAAACGAAGGUGAUAAGCUCACCGCCUGGGAAGUACGGUCGCCAGGCUGAAACUUAAGGCAUUGGCGGGGGAGCACCACAAGGGGUGCGGCGUGCGGUUUAAUCUAACUCAACGCAGAGAACCUCACUAGCGGCGACGGCAGAAUGAAGGUCAGUCUGAAGGGCUUGCCUGACCGGCCAAGAGGUGUUGCAUGGCCGCCGUCAGCUCGUGCUGUAAAGUGUCCUCUUAAGUGAGGCAACGAGCGAGACCUGUACCCACAAUUGCCAGCAGCUUUUAGGACUGGGAACGUUGUGGGGACUGCCUUGGAAACGAGGAGGAAGGUGCAGGCCACGGUAGGUCUGUAUGACCCGAAUCCGCUAGGCUACACGCGCGCAACAAUGGCAGCGACAAUGGGCUGCGACUCCGAAAGGAGAAGCUAAUCCUCGAAACGCUGUCUCAGUACGGAUUGAGGAUUGCAACUCAUCCUCAUGACGCCGGAAUCCCUAGUAAUCAGGUUUCAUCAUGGCCUGGUGAAUAUGUCCCUGUCUCCUUGCACACACCGCCCGUCAAACCAACCGAGCAGGGUUUAGGUAAAACCACACUUUCUUGGUGUGGCUGAAUCUAAG
rnacentral:rRNA from 1 species